rnacentral:rRNA from 1 species
UACGAAGGUGGUUAGCGUUGUUCGGAAUUACUGGGCGUAAAGCGCACGUAGGCGGAUUAGUAAGUCAGGGGUGAAAUCCCGGGGCUCAACCUCGGAACUGCCUUUGAUACUGCUGAUCCCGAGUCUGGAAGAGGUGAGUGGAAUUCCUAGUGUAGAGGUGAAAUUCGUAGAUAUUAGGAAGAACACCAGUGGCGAAGGCGGCUCACUGGUCCGGUACUGACGCUGAGGUGCGAAAGCGUGGGGAGUAAACAGG